UCAGAAGGUACAGAAUUGUGAUCUCAUGCAACUAGUAUUACUUUUAUUUCAUUAUUUUAAUCAAAAAAAAACAGUUUGCUUGUGUGCUUAUACUAGGUGAUACUACGUAGGCAUUCAUACAUAUAUGCUUUUUAUAGAGUAAUUUAUCAAUAAAAUGAAAAACAUACUUUUUGUGGACAUUGGGGGGUCGUGAAGACUCUAUCAGUGAGUAUUUGUUCUCGGAAGGACUGGUAUGUAUAUUAAAUAAUCGGACAUAGUACGAAAAGGUUGUAUGUCUAAAGGGAAACAGCCCAAAACAAGAGUUAAUAAGGUUCCAAAAUUUUUGUUAAGUGAAAUUAAGGCAGUAUUUAUCCUAAUCGGCCAGGGAAUAGGCUUAGAAGCGGCCAUUUUUUGAAGACCUCGUAACAGAGCACUGGUUUAUAUCAUACGGAUAAAAGCACCGAAGAUUUAACGGAUCUAAACAAAGUACCGAUACCUUGUCCAUAUAUAUUAAUGUAUAUAUUAUAUAUUAUAUAUAAGGGGUA
rnacentral:rRNA from 1 species